rnacentral:rRNA from 1 species
GCCUGCCCAGUGACUACAAGUUCAACGGCCGCGGUAUUUUGACCGUGCAAAGGUAGCGCAAUCACUUGUCUUUUAAAUAGAGACCUGUAUGAAUGGCUAAACGAGGGCUUAACUGUCUCCCCUUUCCAGUCAGUGAAAUUGAUCUACCCGUGCAGAAGCGGGUAUAAUAAUACAAGACGAGAAGACCCUUUGGAGCUUAAGGUACAAAACUCAACCACGUUAAGCAACUCAAUAAAAAGUGAAAACUUUGUGGAAUAUGAGAUUUUACCUUCGGUUGGGGCGACCACGGAGGAAAAAAAAGCCUCCAGGUGGACCGGGAGAAUUUCCUAAAACUAAGAGAGACAUCUCUAAGCCACAGAACAUCUGACCAAAUAUGAUCCGGCUAAUACAAGCCGAUCAACGAACCAAGUUACCCUAGGGAUAACAGCGCAAUCCUCUCCCAGAGUCCAUAUCGACGAGGGGGUUUACGACCUCGAUGUUGGAUCAGGACAUCCUAAUGGUGCAGCCGCUAUUAAGGGUUCGUUUGUUCAACGAUUAAAGUCCUACGUGAUCUGAGUUCAGACCGG